UGGGUUGUAGCUCAGUGGUAGAGCAAUUGCCUCUCAUGCUUGAGGCCCUAGGUUCAAUCCUCAGCAUUACAU
rnacentral:tRNA from 1 species